rnacentral:snRNA from 1 species
GUGCUCACAUUGGCAGCACAAAUACUAAAAUUCAAAUGAGACAGAGAAGAAUAUCAUGAUCCCUGUUCAAGGAUCUCACAAAUUCAUGAAGUAUUCCAUAUUUUU